GGCAGGUCCAAUGGUAAUGGGUUACCAGAAUUUAGCAUUAGUGUCACUAAAGUUGAUAUAUGACUCCCCACUGUUAAAUUUGACUGGCUUAUA
ensembl:Y_RNA Y_RNA Y RNA